rnacentral:rRNA from 1 species
UACGGAGGGUGCAAGCGUUAAUCGGAAUUACUGGGCGUAAAGCGCACGCAGGCGGUUGGAUAAGUUAGAUGUGAAAGCCCCGGGCUCAACCUGGGAAUUGCAUUUAAAACUGUCCAGCUAGAGUCUUGUAGAGGGGGGUAGAAUUCCAGGUGUAGCGGUGAAAUGCGUAGAUAUCGGAAGGAACAUCAGUGGCGAAAGCGGCUUCCUGGACCAGCACCGACGUUCAGGCACGAAA